rnacentral:rRNA from 3 species
UUGAAGAGUUUGAUCAUGGCUCAGAUUGAACGCUGGCGGCAGGCCUAACACAUGCAAGUCGAGCGGUAGCACAGAGAGCUUGCUCUCGGGUGACGAGCGGCGGACGGGUGAGUAAUGUCUGGGAAACUGCCUGAUGGAGGGGGAUAACUACUGGAAACGGUAGCUAAUACCGCAUAACGUCGCAAGACCAAAGUGGGGGACCUUCGGGCCUCAUGCCAUCAGAUGUGCCCAGAUGGGAUUAGCUAGUAGGUGGGGUAACGGCUCACCUAGGCGACGAUCCCUAGCUGGUCUGAGAGGAUGACCAGCCACACUGGAACUGAGACACGGUCCAGACUCCUACGGGAGGCAGCAGUGGGGAAUAUUGCACAAUGGGCGCAAGCCUGAUGCAGCCAUGCCGCGUGUGUGAAGAAGGCCUUCGGGUUGUAAAGCACUUUCAGCGGGGAGGAAGGCGGUGAGGUUAAUAACCUCAUCGAUUGACGUUACCCGCAGAAGAAGCACCGGCUAACUCCGUGCCAGCAGCCGCGGUAAUACGGAGGGUGCAAGCGUUAAUCGGAAUUACUGGGCGUAAAGCGCACGCAGGCGGUCUGUCAAGUCGGAUGUGAAAUCCCCGGGCUCAACCUGGGAACUGCAUUCGAAACUGGCAGGCUAGAGUCUUGUAGAGGGGGGUAGAAUUCCAGGUGUAGCGGUGAAAUGCGUAGAGAUCUGGAGGAAUACCGGUGGCGAAGGCGGCCCCCUGGACAAAGACUGACGCUCAGGUGCGAAAGCGUGGGGAGCAAACAGGAUUAGAUACCCUGGUAGUCCACGCCGUAAACGAUGUCGAUUUGGAGGUUGUGCCCUUGAGGCGUGGCUUCCGGAGCUAACGCGUUAAAUCGACCGCCUGGGGAGUACGGCCGCAAGGUUAAAACUCAAAUGAAUUGACGGGGGCCCGCACAAGCGGUGGAGCAUGUGGUUUAAUUCGAUGCAACGCGAAGAACCUUACCUGGUCUUGACAUCCACAGAACUUUCCAGAGAUGGAUUGGUGCCUUCGGGAACUGUGAGACAGGUGCUGCAUGGCUGUCGUCAGCUCGUGUUGUGAAAUGUUGGGUUAAGUCCCGCAACGAGCGCAACCCUUAUCCUUUGUUGCCAGCGGUUAGGCCGGGAACUCAAAGGAGACUGCCAGUGAUAAACUGGAGGAAGGUGGGGAUGACGUCAAGUCAUCAUGGCCCUUACGACCAGGGCUACACACGUGCUACAAUGGCAUAUACAAAGAGAAGCGACCUCGCGAGAGCAAGCGGACCUCAUAAAGUAUGUCGUAGUCCGGAUUGGAGUCUGCAACUCGACUCCAUGAAGUCGGAAUCGCUAGUAAUCGUAGAUCAGAAUGCUACGGUGAAUACGUUCCCGGGCCUUGUACACACCGCCCGUCACACCAUGGGAGUGGGUUGCAAAAGAAGUAGGUAGCUUAACCUUCGGGAGGGCGCUUACCACUUUGUGAUUCAUGACUGGGGUGAAGUCGUAACAAGGUAACCGUAGGGGAACCUGCGGUUGGAUCACCUCCUU